rnacentral:rRNA from 1 species
UACGGGGGGGGCAAGCGUUGUUCGGAAUUACUGGGCGUAAAGGGCGCGUAGGCGGCCAUCUAAGUCAGACGUGAAAUCCCUCGGCUCAACCGAGGAACUGCGUCUGAUACUGGAAGGCUUGAAUCCGGGAGAGGGAUGUGGAAUUCCAGGUGUAGCGGUGAAAUGCGUAGAUAUCUGGAGGAACACCGGUGGCGAAGGCGGCAUCCUGGACCAAUAUUGACGCUGAGGAGCGAAAGCCAGGGGAGCAAACGGG